rnacentral:rRNA from 1 species
AUUGAAAGCUGGCGGCAGGCCUAACACAUGCAAGUCGAACGAGUGGCGGACGGGUGAGUAAUGUCUGGGAAACUGCCCGAGGGAGGGGGAUAACUACUGGAAACGGUAGCUAAUAUCGCAUACCAUCGGAUGUGCCCAGAGGGGAUUAGCUUGUAGGUGAGGUAACUGCUCACCUAGGCGACGAUCCCUAGCUGGUCUGAGUGGAUAACCAGCCAUACUGGAACUGAGACACGGUCCAGACUCCUAAGGUAGGCAGAGGUGGUGAAUAUUGCACAAUGGGCGCAAGCCUGAUGCAGCCAUGCCGCGGGUAUGAAGAAGGCCUUCGGGUUGUAAAGUACUUUCAGCGGGGCGGCGUUACCCGCAGAAGAAGCACCGGCUAACUCCGUGCCAGCAGCCGCGGUAAUAC